GUUUUAACUGAGCGUUCAGUUACUUGACGUAGACCCGAAACCGGGCGACCUACCCAUGAGCAGGAUGAAGCGAAAGUAAAAUUUCGUGGAGGUCCGAACCCACGAGCGUUGAAAAGCUCGGGGAUGACUUGUGGGUAGCGGUGAAAUUCCAAUCGAGCCCGGAGAUAGCUGGUUCUCCCCGAAAUAGCUUUAGGGCUAGCCUCAAGGUGAGAGAUACGGAGGUAGAGCACUGAAUGUCCUAGGGGGUAUUGCACCUACCGAAGACUAUCAAACUCCGAAUGCCGUCAUCUUAUACUUGGGAGUCAGACUGUGGGUGAUAAGAUUCAUAGUCGAAAGGGCAACAGCCCAGAUCGUCAGCUAAGGUCCCUAAAUGUAAGUUAAGUGGUAAAGGAUGUGGGAUUGCACAGACAACCAGGAUGUUGGCUUAGAAGCAGCCACUCAUUCAAAGAGUGCGUAAUAGCUCACUGGUCGAGUGAUCCUGCGCCGAAGAUUUCCGGGGCUAAAACUUACUACCGAAGCUACGGCAUCAGUAAUGAUGGGUAGGGGAGCUUCCCAUACGGGUUGAAGCAUGACCGUAAGGACAUGUGGACAGUAUGGGAGUGAGAAUGUUGGCAUGAGUAGCGAGAUGUGGGUGAGAAUCCCACAGGCCGUAAACCCAAGGUUUCCAGGGGAAGGUUCGUCCGCCCUGGGUUAGUCGGGACCUAAGCUGAGGCCGAAAGGCGUAGGUGAUGGACAACAGGUUGAUAUUCCUGUAC
rnacentral:rRNA from 1 species